UACGAAGGGGGCUAGCGUUGCUCGGAAUCACUGGGCGUAAAGCGCACGUAGGCGGAUCUUUAAGUCAGGGGUGAAAUCCUGGAGCUCAACUCCAGAACUGCCUUUGAUACUGGGGAUCUCGAGUCCGGGAGAGGUGAGUGGAACUGCGAGUGUAGAGGUGAAAUUCGUAGAUAUUAGGAAGAACACCGGUGGCGAAGGCGGCUCACUGGCCCGAUACUGACGCUGAGGCACGAAAGCGUGGGGAGCAAACAGG
rnacentral:rRNA from 1 species